rnacentral:tRNA from 1 species
GCCUUCGUGGUGUAGUGGUCACCACGCUUGGCGCAUAUUCUAGAGGUCCGUGGUUCGAGUCCCGGCGAGGGCA